CCUACGGGAGGCAGCAGUGAGGAAUUUUGCGCAAUGGGCGAAAGCCUGACCGAGCAAUGCCGCGUGAGGGACGAAGGCCUUCGGGUUGUAAACCUCUGUCAUUAGGGAAGAAGGCUGUUCUCAGGAAAUGGGGGACNGUUGACGGUACCUAAGGAGGAAGUCACGGCUAAUUACGUG
rnacentral:rRNA from 1 species